AGGAGAGUUGCAGAGCUCUUCAUGUUUGAUUUUAAGAUCAGUGGGAUACAUAUAGAUGAAUCGAAGAGGAAAAAGGCUGUCGCUCUGAACGUGAUGCUCCUAGAUCUUUACCACGAGUUUCUAAAUGGUUCCCAGCUCCCGAAUGCCAUAGAGAAGCAGGUUCUACCAGAACACAUCUCCAUAGACGGGAACUGCGUUCAGAUCGGUGGGCUGCAUGCUGACUCUCCUUACGAACUGAAACUGUGAUGAAGUUUUUGAAGCUGCUUAAAGAAAAACUCUCUGACAGGAUUUCAAGAUGAUGAGUGAGAUGAAAAAGAAAACAUACUCAACAAAUCACGAAGUGAUGCCCUGGGAUCAUGCAGCCCUCAGUGGAGCCAUAUGGACAGAAAUGUUUAAUAUAGAUCCCAGCGUUUACAGUCCAUACUUCUCUCUUGGUGCUUGCAUGGAGGGACUCAGCCGUCUCUUUACGCAUAUGCUUGGCAUCUCUUUCCAAGCGGAGGAGCCGAAGAUGGGUGAGGUGUGGAACAAAGACGUUCGAAAACUGGCUGUGGUCCAUGAAACAGAGGGGCUGUUGGGAUACAUCUACUGUGAUUUCUUUCGAAGACCUGAUAAACCUCACCAGGACUGUCACUUCACCAUUUGUGGUGGGCGGUUCAGGGAAGUUGGUGUUUACCAGCUUCCUGUUGUGGUGCUGAUGCUGAGUCUACCUCUACCCAAGAGCAAAACCCCAUCCUUGCUCACUCCUUUCAUGGAGGAGAACCUCUUCCACGAGAUGGGACAUGCCAUGCACUCUUUGUUAGGAAGGACAUGGUAUCAGCAUGUCACUGGUCAGAAUUUAUUAUGCAAUAUAACUGACAUUUGAAUAAUUGUUACAAAACUUUUGUAUAAAUCAGAUGUAUGAAAUGCAUGAACGUGUGUGGGGGGUCUAUUAGUAACUUUUGUCUUUGUGUCAUCUUGGACUUACACUGGCAAUUAGCGGCUUGGAUGCAGCAUCAUUUAAAAUUAAUAGUUUUCAAUUUCAGAUGCCAUUAUAGAAAUUUAGUAUUCAUAGUCAGCAAUGAUUACUUUAAUCACUCAGUGAAAGUGUCACAAAACAGGACUGUUACUGAGAUUAAUCGAGUAGUAUUCGACUGGUUAUGUGAUUCUAACAUGGCAGCCCCCAUGUGUGGACCCUCUCCAUGUAGAUUAAAACAGCUUUUAUAAGGUUACUGAUAUGACUGGUGUCUUUUAAUGUGAGUGGUCAUGAUUUCCUACAUACAGUAUAUUGCAAAAUUUUAAAUUAAUGUCAUUAGUAGUUAAACUUUUUUAAUGAGGAAAAAUUACUGAGUGCACCUUUAAAGUAUGGAUCUCUGAAAUCUAAUAAUUAUCUUUGUGACAAAUGUUUUCACAAUAUAUGACACAACAAAUAAGGCGGUAAAUUUGCAUGGCAAAUAACUGUUUGACCACAAUUGUUUUUUUGUUUUGUUCCUUCAUUUUUACUAUGAAGGAACCAGGUGCUCUACAGAUUUUGCUGAAGUUCCAUCUGUUCUGAUGGAGGAUUUUGCCUCAGAUUAUCAAGCUGUGAGACAGUUUGCUUGACAUUAUCAGACUGGAGAAGAAUGUAACAGAAGGCUCCAACCACUGAAGACUUUAUAGAUGCACUAGUGUUGGACCUUGAUGCAGAUUUCAAAUCCUGCAUUUAGUGGAGCAUUGAUAAUUGUAACGUCACUACAAUCCCGAUUACUUCUUGAAACACUGGGUGCUACCUCACUAUUUCCUCUCUUCCUUUUAAGCCUCAUUAAAAUGUGAUAUGAUUACA